UUACAAAGCAGCAUAUGGACACAUGCCCAGAGUGUGCUUGAUACAUGGGGGUGCCAGGGCAUCUCUGUGUCCUAUAAAUGUUUAAGAAUCAGAGACAGGGCUGGCAGGAAGCCAGGUUGAGCCACCUUUACCUUCUGAAUCUUCUAAGAGGAGCUCCUGAGAUCCGUUCCAAGAUGGCUGGCCACAGACCUGCUUGCCUUGCCUCUACUGGCCUCAGCAAACAUUUGC
rnacentral:lncRNA from 1 species